GACAGCUUAUCUCAGUCCUUCUUGUUUUAUGGUUCAUCAGCAUUUCAGACCUGACAGCCUCUGCUGAGAUACCAAAUCCUGGUACCCCCCAGCUCUUCCCAAAAAUGGAAAAGAAAGUCAGGAUUUCAUAGAGCAAAACCUGAAGCCUACAGCCUCAAGUCUAAAGUUAGGACACAGUACAUUGCAGGCAGCAGGCUAAGAAUAACAGAACAAACUCAGGAGGAGAGAAUUAACAAUAAAACACAGGAACUGUGACUCUCCUUCCACAACAUUACCUAAUUCUAAUGUCACGAAGAAGAAAGCAGAGUGAGUGUGUGUGCAGGAGAUAACAGGCUGCCACAGCACUGCUUCUGGUCAGCACCACAAAAUUAAAGUUUGAUUAUUCAGUAGAAGCUGAGCCGAUCUGAGAGUCACACCAGUGUCCAGUUCACAGCGCAACUUACCUUCACAAAGAGCUCAAUUUCAGGGUCCUUUCCUUCCCCAUUAGCAGCAAUAGAGUCUGUCAUUUUUCACCUCCAAGGCUACCAGCUGAUCUCUUAAUAUUAAGUGGCAAAAGGAGGUUUCAACUGCACCGGCGUGCGAGUUUCCCUUGUGAACCGCUCCCACAAAGCUGUUAAAACAUCACUUGUAGUGAUAAAGCUCGAAAGCACUGGAGUAAACAAGUUUGCAGGCAAUUAAAUUAAUAAGAAUUAAGAGAAGGCAGGCAGCAGAGGAGCAGUCCCUGUUACGGUAGUUCUUCAGAGCAACAAGUGCUGCUGUGCUCUGGUACAGUAUCCUCAUCUGUCAGAGCUGCAGCCCUGCUGCCUGCCCAAAAUAGCCCCGAGCAUAAAAAAACAGAGGGUGGGGUUAAACUCAGAGGGGAGGAGACAAGCUCCUGGUACCUACGGCAGGAUCGGUCUCUGAACAAAUAAUUCUGCUCUUCCCUGUUUUCAGCGUUUCUGUUGUUCCCUCCCUCAUUCUACAGCAGGGAGCACCAGGGACAGGGAAGAAGGAAGUCCUGCAGCCGGGCUGGUUUCGGUGCUUUAAGCAACAGUGAUGUUUUUUCUGCUUUUCUGAAGGGUGUUUGUCCUGCCUGUAGGUGUUCAAAGUCCUAACAUUGUUAUUGCUAAGAAAGGCAUUUGACACAGCUCCAGAGCAGUCACAGCCAACACCUCCAUGGCCCUUUGGCCUCACUGAAAACAUUGUUUUGAUAUAGGCAAGUGGUUUAAACAAGUUCUAUCCCAGGACCAUUGGCUCUGGAAGAGAAGAUACUGCCAGCUAUGAGCACAGUAAUGAGGUUUGGUUGGAUUUUUUUUUUUUGCUUGAGGACCCUUUUCACUGCAGAGUUAAUGCCAACAACCAGGAUGAAUUGAAGCAAGGUGAUUACCUAGAAUCCUCAAAGAAAUCAUCUUGGUCAGUGUGCAGAUUAUUUCUACCUUUCUGUGCCUCAUCUUUUAUAAACAUAUAAGCAGGAAGAUAAUGGUUUUCUCUCAGAAGAUGUGUUCUCAAGUUUUACUUAAUUAACACCUGCAUGGAGCCUGCAACAGAAAAUCAAUUAACUUGUAAAUGAAAAUCCUGGUUUUGAACACUGCUGGUGUACUGAAACCAGACCUGUACACUGACAAAUUCCCUUCCCAGCUAUCCCUGAGCACGUCAUCGUAACGUCAUGAAUGUCACUGACGUCUUGCAUUAUCAGAGACGUACAAAUUCACCUACAAUUGUUUCACUAAUUGAUAUGAAAAAGAUCAUCUAGAGAUCUAAAUAUAAAAAUCAUACCUGCAGAUGACAAAUAAAUGACUCAUUUUAGAGUGACACACUUCCUCCUUUUCUUCUGCUACAGAAGUCAGUUUCAUACAGGUUCAUAACAUUUUCCACAAAGAAGUAAAUAUUUUUAUAUUGCCACAUAUACAUAAAAAUAUUUAUAUGUCUUUUUUCAGCCACAGACAAAGUUAUGAGAGAACAUUGAGUAAUUCUAAAUGAACUAGUAAAUACAGUGGCACAACAGUGGAAAAUUUGUCUGCAAUGCAGGGUCUUAUGACCUAAAGAAACAAAGAAUUUUUUUUCCCAAUUAAAAUCUUAAGCUGUGUUUGAAGCAGUAUCUAGGAAUUCAAAUUCAGUAUGUUCAGUUAGCUUUUCUCUUCUACUGUGGUGUCUAAAAUAAAAUGUGAUUCUAAGACGAAUACAGUUGAAAGACACAUAUAUGGGGAAUGCUCUUUAAAAAAAGGAUAAGAUUU